rnacentral:lncRNA from 11 species
AUUAGCCUUAGGGCACUUGGAGGCAACUCAACUGCGACCCCAGAGGAUGGCGCCUUCAGCAACCACGUAGUUUGCCUACCGGUUGAACCGCCCCUGCCCAUAUCCCAUUUUUAUGGUUGAAUUAAGGUCCAGUUACAGUCAGCUUCUUUCUGGACCUGAAAUAGAAGUUUCCAGCUUCCUCAACCCAGGACUCUCUUCCUCCCCACCCUGUAACCUUUU